GAAAUUAUGCCAUCUUUCUGCUUUUCUGGAUAACCAACUUCAAAUCUGAACCAGACAAAAUAAAGCCAGGGAAGAACUAGUAGGUUGAAUCUCCUAAGGAGCAAAAAGAAGGCAUCAUUUGCUAGAAUAUUAGAAUAUUUUUAAAAAUUAGAUGAUUUUGCUUCAGAUCACCUGAACUGUCCCUGGCCCUGACCUGUGUGUGACUGAUCCUCUCCCUGCAGCACUGCUCUUCUCUUGGCUGGUGUGAAUGCACCUCCUCAGGUGAAACCCUGGCUUGAACUUGACCUGCCCAGAUUCCAGAAGGCAAAGGAAUCCCAGGAGAGGAGAAGGAAAGCAUUUCCUAAACCAGACCAACAGCACAGCACACUCAGCUUGGGCUCAGAUUCCUUUCCCUACCCAGAGAGUGACCUGUCACCCAAAGCUGCUGGUGCUUUAGACCAUUUGAUCUGGCCAUCAUGGCAUUGUGGGCAUGCUCCAGGCUUUUGCUUUCCCUGGGGCUGAAAACACACCCAUUUCAAAACAAACCUAAACCAUAGGUGGGACCCUUCUGUGCCUGCCUGCCAUCCAUCCUCCCUUCUCCCUUCCCACCUGCCUCUUUCCUUCACAUUUCUUCAAGAAGAUUUUGGUGGAGAUCUAUCAUGCAAAAACCUAGGUGACACAUCUUUGGAAGCACUGGUGUCCUGCAGAGCUGGACAUCCACACAAGGAUUUCUGCCUCUUUAACCAAACUGCUCCUGGACCGUGUGUGUGCUCACUUCCUCACCAUGUAGAUUCACAACGGGGCCCUGCAAAACCAUUGGAGUGUCUCGAGUCACAGCUCACAAGUAGCAUUCUGAAGCCAAGUGAUUCUUCCCGUAAACAAAAGUGGUUUGCAGGAGCUUGAUUCGGGAAGACAUGACGGCACUGGGUACGUUGCAUUGCGAACUGUUCAGCUGUGUGAGCCUGUGUGUACUGAGGCGUUAAUGCAGAACUGCUGGGCAUUGGGCCCAGAACAGAUGUGAUGAUGAGUGAGAGCAAAGAGACAGGGAGGAAGGAGAAGAAGAAGCACAUUUUAGGCUUCUCAGUUCCUGCCUAGACAACCACUGCUUCCAAAACCUGGGAACCGUCCCCAAAUACCUCUUAUCAAGAGAAAGUAGAAAGCAACAUGAUCUGUGGAGAAAACAAACAUAUUUGCUUUUUUCAUUUGCCAAUCCUGCAAACAAUACCUGUUUGUAGGCAAAUAAUCUUCAGGUCUGCAUCACCAGAUCAAUGCAGGGAGUGGUUCCCAUCGGCUCUGUGGUGCCAGACACACUGAAUGGUUUGUAAGGAAACAGGCCCUUGAACUUCUCCACAGCACAGACACUAUCUUAGUAGGUUAUCUCACACUUGCUUCUGUUCCUGCUCCCAUUCUCCUCAUCUUCCAAUGCUUGGCCUAGCACAGAAAAGCGAAGACUAGAUGAAAUAGACCUUGUUUUAAUAGAAAAGGCUUCAAAACGUUCAGCUGUUUGUUAUUUCCCUGCCACUUACUUUUCCAAUUUACUUUUGGAGCCAGGCUAGCUGAAGGAAAGGCCAAUCCUUGUGCACAGUCGCAGUUUAAUACCUCUGAUAUGCAUGAAGAAAAUUAAUUUGACUGAGGAUUUUGCUUCAUGAAGUAAUUACAGCACAAAGCAUAAAAAGGCUGUGUUUUGUCUUGAGCCGCCAAAGUCCUGGUUUGCAUCAUGAGGUCAUGUUUAGGAUUACAAAUGUUUGCACAAAUAGCAUCUUACAGUAUCUCACAUCGCCUCUCUCCACUUUUGCUAAUGGGACUUUUGGAGGUGCAGGGGAACAGGAAAAGAAACUGUUCUUCAGUCCCAGAUGUGUUAAAAUUGAAGCUUAAACCCACAGGGCACGAGAAGGGCACCACA
rnacentral:lncRNA from 1 species